rnacentral:siRNA from 1 species
GGGUUAGGGGUCGUGGUCGUUUC